AGACGAAGAUUAAAUUAGCGACUGAGAUUGUGGUGGGCGUACGAGGAAGACGCAUAGUACGAUGGGAGUCAAGACUUAUGAAUCGGAAUCUUUAAAGUCUGAAUCUCCAUGGGAUGACGAGUGCUCACUACUUGUUGUAGAUAAUCAGAGCUCCUUGAUUAACAACAACGUGUUCCCCCCAAUUAACCACGAAGGCCUUCAUAUUCAUUCACAAAUUUUCCCUCAGUCCCUGCACCAAUUUAAUGCUACAGCUUCUCCCUCCAGGAAGCCCCAGAUUUCAAAUUCUCCGCGGAACUUAUGGUUCAAGUUUGUGCAUCAGGGUAUGAGUUUCGUUCAUUCCAUGCUUCAGAAUUACUCCGUCUCGAGUAUCGUUUCGUAUUUAUUUUCUCCAGCCACAGUGAUGGUGGUAGUGUUCUGGUAUUGGAGGGUUCUGAGACGACGGAGAGCAUUGAGGAAAGAAAGUCGCGAUAAAUUGAUCAGAAUUGUUGCGGAAAAAGAUGAGGAGAUCAGUAAACUAAUGCAGCAAAUUGCUCAGAUGAAUAAGCUUUUGUGCCGCAAUUCUUCUCCGAGCCCUAGGGCAACAUGAACAGAAAUGCUCAGCAUCUUCCUGGUAGUCUCUUGCUUUGAAUUGAAUUUUUAAAGUCUGUAAUACAAUGGUAUGAAGUGCAAGACUGCUCAUUUUGAUAUCAUGUCUUUCCAUUUGGAAUGAAAUCGAAAUAUAAGAAAUUUCUCAUUUUAUGGUAA